GACGAACGCUGGCGGCGCGCCUAACACAUGCAAGUCGAGCGAGAACCAGGGCUUCGGCCCUGGGGAAAGCGGCGAACGGGUGAGUAACACGUGGGUAAUCUGCCCUCGGCACCGGGAUAGCCCGGGGAAACCCGGAUUAAUACCGGAUGGCCUAUCCACUCUUCGGAGCGGCUGGGAAAGGUAGCUUCAAGCCUCCGGCCGAGGAGGAGCCCGCGGCGGAUUAGCUUGUUGGUGAGGUAACGGCUCACCAAGGCAACGAUCCGUAGCUGGUCUGAGAGGACGAUCAGCCACACUGGGACUGAGACACGGCCCAGACUCCUACGGGAGGCAGCAGUGGGGAAUCUUGCGCAAUGGGCGAAAGCCUGACGCAGCGACGCCGCGUGCGGGAAGAAGGCC
rnacentral:rRNA from 1 species